UGCAGCGGAAGCGCACGGGACAGCUCCUCUCUCUGCUGUCUUCGGCUCCCACUGUGUGUGACUCUGCAGAAGCAAGUACGAAAGAGAGCCAGCACAGCCAGGACACAAACCACACUGCCAAGAGAUGCGGAUGCUGGCGAUGCAGGAACUUCAUCAUCGCACCACCCUCCACUAAGACGACCUUCACAGGGGUCUGCCAGUCUCCAGAAGAUGGUUAGCAAGAGACGGCGUCUUUAGGCAGUAUCUACACCCGCACCCUCACCACCACAAUGGCGCAUCUCCACUGUGUUGGCUCAGCCACCAGAAGCCAUUUUGGCCAGUCCACAAAGCGAGGAACCACAAUCCCCUCAGCUGUCUGAUCCAGACAUCAUGCCCCAGGAUACCCAGCAGGAAACUGACUUGCAGCAAACGUUCACACUCCACCUGCAAGCGAUUGAUAAUAACCAGCCAACCACGCCGGCUGACAUAUCUCCACCACCCCAAACAACCCCCACCCCCAAUUGAGCCCAACACCACCCCAGCCACAAAUGGGACCAGAGUUUUGGUCCAGUUGGGCCAUGCAACAGGCACAAAACUAUGCCUGUCUCAACACACACAGCCAAUAUCUUGCCAGUCUGCCCCAUCAUCUACCUAGACUCAGUAGAAACUCAGGCAGACUGAUUGUGCAACUGACUGAGGAAGCCGCCGAGUUGAUCUAAGGUGGGGAAACGCGUCUCUGUUUGAAGUGGGGCGAGUCUGGUCUCAUGGCGAAGAUAUAUAGAUGAUAUUGUUUUUAUAUGGGGAGGGAGCAUGGAAGAAUUAGAACAUUUUUGCUCAUAUUUAAAUGAAAAUGACUCAAAUAUUUUAUUGACCUUUGAAAAAAGCCAAUCUUUAGUUAAUUUUUUGGAUUUGACAAUUUAUAUUGAACAGGGUGUGAUAAAAACGAAAAAAUUUUAUUAAACCAACGGAUUCCAGUACUUAUAUUGAUGUAGAAAGCUGUCACCAUAGUAGGUGGUUGGACACUAUACCAAUUAGUCAAUUUAAAAGAUUGAAAAGGAAUUGUACGGAUGGGGAUGUGUUCUUAACUCAGGCGAAAGAAAUGUCCACUAAUUUCAAGGGAAGUGGAUAUAAAGAUCAAAUUAUAUUAGAUUCCCUGGAAAGAGUGAGUGCCAUGAAUAGGGAGGAUCUGUUAAGAAAGUCUGAAAAUAGGAAAAAGGAUACAAACAAUGAUGCUUUUAAAUGGUCAUUUAUUACUAAUUACACUUCUCAGCACCAUCAAGUGAAAAGAAUUUAAAAAAAACAUUGGAAAUUAUUGAAAAAAGAUCAAGUGAUAGGAAAGGAUUUACCAAACAAUCCAAAUUGCAUUUUUAAAAGAGCCCCCAAUUUAAAAACUAAAUUAGUAAAGAGUCUCUGUCCACCUUCCCCAAAAAAGGGAAACGUAUUAACAAAAGGAUUUUUUCGCUGUGGCAGUUGUGUUGGGUGCAAAAAUAUACCCAAUACCUUUGGUAAUAAAUUAACUGAUGUUGAGAUAAAUAAGAAGAAACAUAAAAUCAGUGAAUUUUUAACAUGUCAUUCUUUUAAUGUUGUCUACGCCAUUGAAUGUUCAUGCGGGAAAUUUUAUAUAGGUAGGACAAGUAGGGCUUUUAAGAUUAGAUUGGGGGAACAUAUAAGGAACAUCCGGAAGGGUUUAGACACUCAUGCACUUUCUAAACAUUUUAAAGAAACCCAUGAUUGUGAUAUAAAAUACUUGAAGAAUUUUUUUGUCCUUAAGAAAGUCUCUUCUGACGUCAGAGGGGGCGAUAUUGCAGCCAAAUUAGCUAAAUGUGAAAUGAGUAUGAUUUACAAUCAUAACACAUUAGCCCCAAAUGGCAUCAAUAAAGACUUUGAGUUAAAAUGGUUUUUAUAAAUAAGGUUUUUAUAGGGUUUUUUAAUGUUUUAUUUUCUUUUAUUAUAAGUGAGUAAUUUUAUGUAUUUAUUUUUCAUGUUCUGGAUACUGCACUGAACCAUCUCCUCAGAGAUCGUAUAUUUAAUAUAGAGGAUGAUUCUCCGGAUACAACACUCCAAUAGAUGUUGAUGGAGUGAGGGAAAUGUAUGGCGGGUCCCCAGUAACGAUGUGUCCGGAACAACAUGUGGAACGCAAAGCUCCGCCGCGGCCGGAUGUGACGCGUAUGGAGAGACGUCACAUCCGGAAAUAGCGGUGGAACGCACAUGCGGGCCAAUGGACGGUGGAACGCAAUCGCGGACGUGACACACAUCAGUGGACAGUGAAUAUGGAACUCAGGUGCAUUUAAAAGCGGAGAAAAUUUGGCGCCCAUGGAGGGAGUAAAGAAUACCCUAACAGGAUAAGCGGAUGGGAUGCAUGUGAUUGUUACACAUAGAAUGUAUAAGUUAGUAGAUUCAUGUCUGGUAAUAGGUUUUUCACAUAGGAUAUGAUGUCAUCAGGAAGAGGGGUAUAAAUAGGAUAUCCUGGGGAAGAAAGAGUAUAUGCCUUGAAAAAGAUACUUAAAAGUAUUGAAACGCGUUGGAUAGUGGUCUUUUGGAAUCUGGAAUCAAUCCACAGGAGGAAUUGCGAGGUGCUGGGGACGCCUGGUUGUUUAUUCUAUCUGCCUUGUUUUUCCUGUCAUAUGGUGAGAGUCCAGCCAUUCUAAAUUGGCUUUUUAAUUUUCCAUUAAAGCAAUAUUAUACUAUGUUUGCUUUUAUCCUUUUGUGAGAUUGCUGGAAAUGAAGUGAUGGACGGAUGAAAAAUUUGGAACCCUAUCAUGAUUUUAUCCUCUCCCCUACAUACGCAUAUUGUCUAUUAGUUAGACACCAUCUUACGGUACGGAUUCUACCUACAUAUAGAAGAAAGUAUUGAUUUCAUGCUAUCAGUAUCACACUAUUGUAUUUUCUUAUUUUUCGUUUGAGGGUCAAAAAUUGACGAUAGAUCAUCUAGAAGUACCCCAUAUGAUCUAUAUCAGCGCCUGAAGACUGUUUGGUGAUAUCUCUUUCUUGCUUUACUGGCUGUAGCUGUACACCAACUCAACGAGCACUGGGAUCGAUACUGCACCACUCCGGAUAAGGUUCGCACUAAGGGCUUGGAGCGCCAGAGCCGGGAGCCGCUAAAUGCUGGAUGCUACCCAGAAGGAGGAUCUGAGUGGCCAAUACCAUGGAGCAGAUGAGAGCCGACAACAGCCAACUGAUAGCAAGUUUUCAGUGAAUAAUGGAAGAACAGCACCGCCAUCAACAAGCCCUCAUUCAAAUUAUCCAAAAUAAUCAAUUAAUUACAGAAAGCCUGUCCAGAAUCAUCGCCAACAACACUGCCGCAACCACACAACUCACAGCAAGCCUCAACAACCUGAGCCAAAACAUAAAUGUGUUGGCAUCCCAGCAACAAAGCUCAAGCUCAGGGACAACCACACCUAGCCAGACCCCAGUUACCGCCCCAGUUAGACAAUCCAGCAGAACCCGGCCCAAUGUGCCAUCACAAUACUCUGCACCCAGCAAAAAAACACCUAGGAAAUGAGCAAGCCUGCAUCAAAAUAUACAAUAUUUUCAAAUAUAUUUAAAGAUUAUUGAAUUGUG